AAUAACAGCGGUGAUCCAAAACACUGGAAUGCAACAGACAGGACCAGUCAGUCGCCUCAAGAAGUGUACUGCAGGAGAAACCAGUGGUAGAUCAGAAGAACCAUCUCUGUGAUACAGAGGACAAAAGUGAUCCCAAACGCUGUGUGGUGAAGUUUGCAGGAACAUCCGGUUGAUUGCCCAGUAACAACUUGGUGCUCUACAGCAAGGGUUCAGUGCUCCUGUAAGAAGAGCAAGUAGAACCACAGUGGCUCCUCUCAUCUCAGAGGUUGGGUUGGUGUGGAGGUCCUGUUUAGGAUAGCUUGCUAGAUUUAUA